rnacentral:tRNA from 1 species
AGACUUUUUAACUAUAUAAGUAUAUAUUUUGAAAAUAUAAAAAAGAGAAAUUCUCUAAAAGUCUU